rnacentral:lncRNA from 1 species
AUUAAAAUUUCAACCAUUUACAACUGAAACAUGCAGCGCGCGCGGCCAACCCUCUCACCAAUCUGAUCCUUUGUCGAACUAAUUCAACAAGACGUUGAGGCGAAUUCAAACCACGCGCGCACCUAGCCGAAACUCUCAUGCAUGCUACUGUAUUAAAAUUUCAACCAUUUACAACUGAAACAUGCAGCGCGCGCGGCCAACCCUCUCACCAAUCUGAUCCUUUGUCGAACUCAUUCAACAAGACGUUGAGGCGAAUUCAAACCACGCGCGCACCUAGCCGAAACUCCCAUGCAUGCUACUGUAUUAAAAUUUCAACCAUUUACAACUGAAACAUGCAACGCGCGCGGCCAACCCUCUCACCAAUCUGAUCCUUUGUCGAACUAAUUCAACAAGACGUUGAGGCGAAUUCAAACCACGCGCGCACCUAGCCGAAACUCUCAUGCAUGCUACUGUAUUAAAAUUUCAACCAUUUACAACUGAAACAUGCAGCGCGCGCGGCCAACCCUCUCACCAAUCUGAUCCUUUGUCGAACUCAUUCAACAAGACGUUGAGGCGAAUUCAAACCACGCGCGCACCUAGCCGAAACUCUCAUGCAUGCUACUGUAUUAAAAUUUCAACCAUUUACAACUGAAACAUGCAGCGCGCGCGGCCAACCCUCUCACCAAUCUGAUCCUUUGUCGAACUAAUUCAACAAGACGUUGAGGCGAAUUCAAACCACGCGCGCACCUAGCCGAAACUCUCAUGCAACUGUAUUAAAAUUUCAACCAUUAUAAAGUUUAUAAGGCAAAAUGAAAUUACGUCCUCAGCUGAAACUCUCGUACAUGCAACUGUGCUAAAAUUAGAACGAUUUCAAAGUUGACCUAUCUCUGUAAUUGCAAACUGACAAUGUGAGAAAUAAAGAUUAAACUUACCGUCAGAUAUUUCAGCGUGUUAAUUUCGGCCACACAUCAGUAUAAAAAAAAAAAAAAAAACAUAGUCAAGGAAAAACCAUGAAAUCGAAACCUCUCAUCCAACUGUAUUUUAAAUUUCAACCAUUAUAAAAUUCAUAAGGCAAAAAUAAUAAACUUGCGUACGCAGCCGAAACUCUCAUUCAUGCUACUGUAUUAAAAACAUGCAACGCGCACGGCCAAUCCUCUCACCAAUCUGAUCCUUUGUCGAACUAAUUCAACAAGACGUUGAGGCGAAUUCAAACCAUGCGCACACCUAGCCGAAACUAUCGUGCAUGCUAUACUGUAUUAAAAUUUCAACCAUUUACAACUGAAACAUGCAGCGCGCGCAGCCAACCCUCUCACCAAUCUGAUCCUUUGUCGAACUAAUUCAACAAGACGUUGAGGCGAAUUCAAACCACGCGCGCACCUAGCCGAAACUAUUGUGCAUGCCAUACUGUAUUAAAAUUUCAACCAUUUACAACUGAAACAUGCAGCGCGCGCAGCCAACCAUCUCACCAAUCUCAUCCUUUGUCGAACUAAUUCAACAAGACGUUGAGGCGAAUUCAAACCACGCGCGCACCUAGCCGAAACUAUCGUGCAUGCUAUACUGUAUUAAAAUUUCAACCAUUUACAACUGAAAGAUGCAGCGCGCGCAGCCAACCCUCUCACCAAUCUGAUCCUUUGUCGAACUAAUUCAACAAGACGUUGAGGCGAAUUCAAACCACGCGCGCACCUAGCCGAAACUAUCGUGCAUGCUAUACUGUAUUAAAAUUUCAAACAUUUACAACUGAAACAUGCAGCGCGCGCAGCCAACCCUCUCACCAAUCUGAUCCUUUGUCGAACUAAUUCAACAAGACGUUGAGGCGAAUUCAAACCAUGCACGCACCUAGCCGAAAC